ACGAACGCUGGCGGCGUGCUUAACACAUGCAAGUCGAACGAUGAAGCCUUCGGGUGGAUUAGUGGCGAACGGGUGAGUAACACGUGGGCAAUCUGCCCUUCACUCCGGGACAAGCCUUGGAAACGAGGUCUAAUACCGGAUAUCACUCUCGGGUGCAUGCCUGGGGGUUGAAAGCUCCGGCGGUGAAGGAUGAGCCCGCGGCCUAUCAGCUUGUUGGUGGGGUAAUGGCCUACCAAGGCGACGACGGGUAGCCGGCCUGAGAGGGCGACCGGCCACACUGGGACUGAGACACGGCCCAGACUCCUACGGGAGGCAGCAGUGGGGAAUAUUGCACAAUGGGCGAAAGCCUGAUGCAGCGACGCCGCGUGAGGGAUGACGGCCUUCGGGUUGUAAACCUCUUUCAGCAGGGAAGAAGCGCAAGUGACGGUACCUGCAGAAGAAGCACCGGCUAACUACGUGCCAGCAGCCGCGGUAAUACGUAGGGUGCGAGCGUUGUCCGGAAUUAUUGGGCGUAAAGAGCUCGUAGGCGGCUUGUCGCGUCGGAUGUGAAAGCCCGGGGCUCAACUCCGGGUCUGCAUUCGAUACGGGCAGGCUAGAGUUCGGUAGGGGAGAUCGGAAUUCCUGGUGUAGCGGUGAAAUGCGCAGAUAUCAGGAGGAACACCGGUGGCGAAGGCGGAUCUCUGGGCCGAUACUGACGCUGAGGAGCGAAAGCGUGGGGAGCGAACAGGAUUAGAUACCCUGGUAGUCCACGCCGUAAACGUUGGGCACUAGGUGUGGGCGACAUUCCACGUCGUCCGCGCCGCAGCUAACGCAUUAA
rnacentral:rRNA from 1 species